rnacentral:sRNA from 1 species
GCCAGAUGCCUUGGCAUAUACCUGUAAUCCCAGUGAUUGGGAGGCAGAGGCAGGAGGAUCACAAGUUGGAGGCCAGCCUGGCCAUUGUUGCAAGAUCCUGUCUCAA